GCUGAAGUAGCUCAGGUGGGAGAGCAUUAGACUGAAGAUCUAAAGGUCCCUGGUUCAACCCCGAGCUUCAGCA
rfam:Phaethon lepturus contig74650, whole genome shotgun sequence.